GCUUUUGUUUUUUUUAAAAAGUAGUUUCUGCUCAAUGAUCUUAAAUAGCCGCGGUAAUUUGACCGUGCAAAGGUAGCAUAAUAAUUUGCUUUGUAAUUGAGGGCUGGAAUGAAGGGAUUUUUGAGAUUGCAGCUUUAUUAAAAAAAAUUUAAUAAUUUUCUUUUCUAGUGAAGAAGCUAGAGUGAAUAAGGGGGACAAGAAGACCCUUUUGAGCUUUAUUUUUUUUUCUUUUCUUAAGUUUAGGGAAUUUGGUUGGGGCGACCAGAGAAGAAAGAUCUUCUCUUUAAGAUUAUGAUCCAAGGAUUUUGAUUGAUAGAUUAAGUUACCAAAGGGAUAACAGCGUGAUUUUUUUUAAGAGUUCUUAUUAAAAAAGUAGAUUGCGACCUCGAUGUUGACUUAUGGCUUCCUUUUCGUGCAGCAGUGAUAAGGGUGGGUCUGUUCGACCUUUAAAGU
rnacentral:rRNA from 1 species